rnacentral:lncRNA from 1 species
CCUAGGCCGUCGAACCACCGUUCGCCUCCGCAGCAGGAGCGGAUCCGUUGUUGCUGUUAGCGAGGGAGGAAGACGUCAUCAUCUUCUGAAACUCCUCGAAAUUGACAUUCCCGUCGCCGUCAGCGUCCACAGGCCCGAUCAUCUUAGUGCAGUCCUCCACGGAGCACGACAUCCCGAGGCGGUUAAGCACCUGGUGGAGCUCGGCCGCGGAGAUGAGCCCGUUCUUGUCCUGAUCGUACAGAUCGAAGGCGUCACGGAUCUCGGAAGCGGAGGAGGACGAGCGGCAGAGAGCGGAGAAUUCGUCCGCGUUGAUGAAGCCGUCGCGAUCGGUGUCGACCUCCUCCAGGACGCGGUUGAGCUCCGUCUCGGUGAAGGAAGUCCCCAUGGCCUUGAAAACGCCUCCGAGCUCGGUCACCGAGAUCUUACCGUCGCCGUUGGAGUCGAACUGGUCGAAAACCUUCUUGAGCUCCUCGGGAUUCGCCAUGUCCACCGGUGCAGUCGUGGGUUUGGCGGUUACAGGGUUACCACUUGCCAUUUUUUUUUUGCUUCUGUUAAAAGGUAAAAUGUUAGAGAGAGGUUUUGGAGAAAAAUUUGUUAGAGGCUUGUGAAUGUGUGAGCCUUACUGAGUUUGACCUUUUAUAGACCGUUUUUUUCUUCUCUAUUCCACAAGCUACGUGUUUUGAUAGCCAUUGGUUAUACAUUUUGAAUCGAAUCUUUUACGGUUUUGAUUUCUUUUCAUUGUAUUAUUAUCGAAUUUUCGUGAUUUUUUUUUGAUUAAAUUAAACACAUUUACAUAUUGUAGUACAUGUUAAUAAAAUUCUUUUACGGAUUAAGAGAUUACUAUCUCAGUUAAUAAUACGCUUUAAUUUCAUUUUUAUUAAUCAGUUGUCUUGAGUCGUUGAGAAGAUGAUUGCGCAGAGUUGGAAUCUAGGAGAGGAAGAUUCAGACAACAGCUUAUUCUCCCUCUCAUUGUUUUUCCUCUGUUUUCCUUUUUUCCCUUUUGAGUUCUUCAGUAGUGGUAAAUACUUAUAAAGUGCUCACAUCAAGGUGCACAUGUAUGUGUAUAUAAAAGUAUAUAAAAAUAAAUGACAAAUAUAUAAAGAUAUUGUUAAUUAAUAUUAAUAACAUUUUUGUUCUAAAUAAUACAUGACAGAUAAAAUUAAAACUAAUUAAAAAUUAAAAAGGCCUUGACAUUAGUAAAUUUUUUUCAUAUAAAAAAAUCAAUUGUAUCCGUAAAUAGAGGUGAACACAGAUCGAAUAUCCGAGUAUUUGGAGGCAUUCAUGUCGAUUCGAUCUUUAGUCACUUGGAUAGUCGGUGACUAUGAUAUCCGAAAUGAUUUAGAAUUUUAAAGAAUAUCCGAUUUGAUCCGUAAAUAAAAUUUAAAAAAUAAUUGAAAAAUUAAUAAUAAUGUUUUAUUACAAAAUAAAAUAUUAUUUACUUUUUAAAUUUUAAUACCUAAUAUAAUAAAUUGAAUUCAUAAAAAUAUUGUAAAACUUAUAUAUAAUAUAUAUAACAUAUAUAUAUAUAUAUAUAAUUAUGUACCUAUAUGUAUAUAUAUGCAAAUGAAAUAAUAGAUCAAAUUUGACAAUUGCUCCUAAAAAUAUUGGUAUUUGUGAUUUGCUUUUUUUAAUUGUAUUUUAGUAAUUUAUUUGCUUCGUAGAGUUACGGAUAUCCAUAUUUUUUGGUUCAAUUCAAAACGGUUAACGAAUUGAAUCAAAACUUAUAAAUAUUUUGCCCAAUUUUAUCGGUAAACAAUAAAAAUAAAAUAUAUAUAGUUUAGCUUUUGAUUCGUUAUUUGUUUUGAUUCGAACCGAAAAAUCUAAAGUUUUAUUGGAACCAUGCAUAUGAGUUUUAUAUUAAAAAAAUACAAAGUAUAUAGUGUGAACAUAUUUAUGAAUAUAGUGUGAACGCGUUAGCAUAUUUAUUAUCAAAUCAUUGUGAGGCUGCCACGUGUCUAUUAUAGUGUGAAUGCAUUUAUUACAAUGUUUCUCCUUUAAUAUAUAAGGGAUUUGUACAACUUUCUAUAAAAAAAAAAAUUAAUACUACGAAAAGGAAACGAAAAUAACAUGCACAGUAGUAGUAAGGUCGCGAACAUAAAUUUACGCGUUGACCGAGUCAAUUUGAUUCCAGCGUUCAUUAUUAGCAACCGUAUUAUUAAAUUCAUUGAAACCAAAACUUCAGUUAUUUUACCAUUUAACAAUUCGAGUGGGGUGUAAACAAAAGUAACACAGAAACCUAAAUUCAAAUUUCAAAAUGAUUUAAUCAGUUUCCAUUGAAACUUUUCAAGACGUAGAAAAAAUCUGAUUCGAUUUCAAAGCCAAAGUAAUCAUCGUUCAAAACUAUAGCAUCGAGAAUGUAAACGAUGGGAAAAUUAGAAAAGCAAAUUUGUUUGAACAAGAACAACCAAACAACGAUGGAUCGAAGUUAGACUUUUUUUAUCACAUUUUUUUUUAAAAAGCACCUAAACGAAGCAUAGUAGUAAUUAUUCUUCCCAGUUUUAGAGAGGAUCCUCAUACGAAAUCUAGAAAACCCUAGGCCGUCGAACCACCGUUCGCCUCCGCAGCAGGAGCGGAUCCGUUGUUGCUGUUAGCGAGGGAGGAAGACGUCAUCAUCUUCUGAAACUCCUCGAAAUUGACAUUCCCGUCGCCGUCAGCGUCCACAGGCCCGAUCAUCUUAGUGCAGUCCUCCACGGAGCACGACAUCCCGAGGCGGUUAAGCACCUGGUGGAGCUCGGCCGCGGAGAUGAGCCCGUUCUUGUCCUGAUCGUACAGAUCGAAGGCGUCACGGAUCUCGGAAGCGGAGGAGGACGAGCGGCAGAGAGCGGAGAAUUCGUCCGCGUUGAUGAAGCCGUCGCGAUCGGUGUCGACCUCCUCCAGGACGCGGUUGAGCUCCGUCUCGGUGAAGGAAGUCCCCAUGGCCUUGAAAACGCCUCCGAGCUCGGUCACCGAGAUCUUACCGUCGCCGUUGGAGUCGAACUGGUCGAAAACCUUCUUGAGCUCCUCGGGAUUCGCCAUGUCCACCGGUGCAGUCGUGGGUUUGGCGGUUACAGGGUUACCACUUGCCAUUUUUUUUUUGCUUCUGUUAAAAGGUAAAAUGUUAGAGAGAGGUUUUGGAGAAAAAUUUGUUAGAGGCUUGUGAAUGUGUGAGCCUUACUGAGUUUGACCUUUUAUAGACCGUUUUUUUCUUCUCUAUUCCACA